rnacentral:rRNA from 1 species
GAACGCUGGCGGCGUGCUUAACACAUGCAAGUCGAACGAUGAAGCCCUGCUUGCAGGGUGGAUUAGUGGCGAACGGGUGAGUAACACGUGAGUAACCUGCCCCCGACUCUGGGAUAAGCCCGGGAAACUGGGUCUAAUACCGGAUAUGACUUCCUACUGCAUGGUGGGUUGUUGAAAGAUUUAUCGGUGGGGGAUGGACUCGCGGCCUAUCAGCUUGUUGGUGAGGUAAUGGCUCACCAAGGCGACGACGGGUAGCCGGCCUGAGAGGGUGACCGGCCACACUGGGACUGAGACACGGCCCAGACUCCUACGGGAGGCAGCAGUGGGGAAUAUUGCACAAUGGGCGGAAGCCUGAUGCAGCGACGCCGCGUGAGGGAUGACGGCCUUCGGGUUGUAAACCUCUUUCAGUAGGGAAGAAGCGAAAGUGACGGUACCUGCAGAAGAAGCGCCGGCUAACUACGUGCCAGCAGCCGCGGUAAUACGUAGGGCGCAAGCGUUAUCCGGAUUUAUUGGGCGUAAAGAGCUCGUAGGCGGUUUGUCGCGUCUGCCGUGAAAGUCCGAGGCUCAACCUCGGAUCUGCGGUGGGUACGGGCAGACUAGAGUGAUGUAGGGGAGACUGGAAUUCCUGGUGUAGCGGUGAAAUGCGCAGAUAUCAGGAGGAACACCGAUGGCGAAGGCAGGUCUCUGGGCAUUUACUGACGCUGAGGAGCGAAAGCAUGGGGA